CGACGCUGCCGCCGCCGCUGCCCCAGGCGGAGGGCACCGAGGUUCCCACGCUCCGGCCCGGGGCCGGGGGCGUUCUCAGGCCGGCGUGGCCGCGCUCGCCACCGCCGCGGAGGCCAGGCUGUAAUUAGGGUAAUUGCGCGGCUCCGCGCCUGGGGCAAGUGCAGGACCCUGGUUGUGCAGCGCUGGUCCGGGAUAGGCAGGGACAGCGGGGGCUGGGAAUGUCGCAGCCCGGUCCUCCAGACAGGACUGCACUUCCGUCUCCAGAUUGGACCUCUCUGCCGAGCCACACACCUCUCCUGAGCCAUCAUAGACUCUAGUUCUCCAAAGUCCUUUGGCUUUUCCACUGGGAGAAAAACCAUUUCUCUGGAAAUGAUAUACAGAAGUGUUGGCAACAGCAAUUUCUGCAAGACCCCCUACAUCCAUCUGCAGCAGACCAUGCAGGAUUGUUAUGACUACAAAUCCUACAGUGGAGUGUUACACAGCACUGGAAAUGGAGGACCACUGCAAACCUUUACAGACCAGGGCUCAUGAGAUUCAGGAAUCAGACUCUGGUGUUAGAAACAAACAAACAAAAGCAGGUCACAUCCACAUAGGUUUGAUAUGCUUCUUGAAUAUAGUACACAGACAUGCAAAAUGAAAUGGCCUUUCAAAGGGAUAGAAACAAGAGAGACUCAGCCUGGUCUUGAACUCACAGAAAUCAAACUGUCUCUGCCUCCCAAGUGCUGGGAUUAAGGGGGUGCAUCACCAUGCCCGGAGAAAAUAAUUUUUAAAAUCAGGGAAGCUGAAGGUGAUGGCGCAUACCUAUAAUUCCAAAUGAUUCCAGCAGGCAGCUCAGUGCCCCUAGACUUUCUGACCCCAAGCAGCAAAGUUUCAGCCUAAUGGGUGUGUAGAAUAAAACUACCAUUUGGCCCAGUUAUCACACUUCCUGGAACAUAUGCAAAAGAAACGAAACCAUUGCAUGAAGGCCACGUGUGUGCCCAUGUUUACUGCAACGAUCCACAGUGGCUAAGCGUGGCUACGACAAGACAUCCACCAUUACAUGAGUGGAAAAGGGAGUGUGUCUCACGUGUACACAGGGGAGUGAGUACUCAGUCAUAAAAAGCCCCACAGUGGUCACACCCAGAGGACAUUAGGUGAAACAGAUUAGACACAGAAAGACACAUAUCACAUGGUCUAUUUCAUAACUGAAAAAAAGGUGAUCUGGUCCAGGAGAGAUGGCUCAGGGGGUAAGAGUGCUUUCUGUAUAGAUGUGAAGACCUGGAUUCAAAUCCACAAGACUGUGUAAAAGGCGAUGUGGCAUAAACUUGUAAUCCAGAACUGUCUACAUGUGUAUUCCAGAUGGGUGGAGACAGGAGGAUCCCUGGGGCUUGCUAAUUAAUAGCCUCACUUUAGGUCUAGUGAGAGACCCUGUCUCAAGAGAAUAAUUAUGAGAGAGAUCAAGACACUGUGUGAUGUCUUCCGCUGGCCUGUGUGCCCACAGCUGUACAUACCAGCGCACACUUACUGGCACACACAUGCACAUACUUCAGA